GUGGAGCUGGCCCCGCAAUGGCGGGCGGCCUGCGGUGGCGGGGAGAGGCGCUGCUCAGUGCCGCGCUGGCCGCGUUCCUCUGCGCCUUCCGUGUGCAGGCUGUUUGUGAGGGUGCCACUGUCACACAGGAGCUUUUGAAAGAGGGGUUUCACAGGGACCUGCUAUUGAAGGUAGAGCUUGGUGUAGUGCGGGAGCAUUCAGGAGGAUGCACAGUGGCAGCUAGAACUCAUCUUCCACCAGGAAUCUACGUGGAUCCCUAUGAGCUGGCAUCCCUACAGCAGCACAAUUUAACAAAGGCAGUGCUAAUUCCUGAUGUUGAUGUGGAGGCUCCUGAGUACUUAGCAACAGAUCUUCUAGUUCUGCUGUACCUGGAACCCGACCCUUGGUGUUUUCACUGCUUUACAGCUACCUUGCCUGUGCAUGGCCGGUACCACCGGCCGGCAGAAGACAGUGAGGAAGUGUUGGUUAUGCUGAAGAGCCCAGAAGUACUGGUCUGCUGCUGUGACAGUGAGAUUCUUGUUACCUGUUCUACUGGGGAGAGAGGAGUAACAGUGGGCAAUACAGAGGUUGGAGUCUGGUUCUGUAUUUGUCUUCUGGAGAUGGAGCUCUCGGUAGUCAUGUGAACAUGAAGGGAAGAUAGUGGCCCUGAUAAAGACCCCCAUUCUUCCUCUUUGAAUGCUGCUGCUGUCUGACCAAAGGCAGAUUAAUUGUUAAUACACUUCUUGGUGUUGUGCUGCUGCUGUUGUACCAUUGUGCUGUAGUGGGCAGCACUGGCAGUUGAUCUGCUUGUCACAAUCCUUGGCUUGUAAGGAGCUGGGUGUUCACAUGGCUUUUUCAGUGUUUCUCUUGGCAGCUGAAGCCAUGCAGGGCAUAUUUAAUAUUCACUGUCACGUAUUUAGAGUAAUCAGAGUAUUGUGAUGGUUUGUAACACUUCCUGCAUUCCCUGCAUGGUAAGGGGGGGGAAUGUAGAAAACUCUGUGCCUGAAGGUUAGCAUGGUUGGAGUCUCAGACUCGUGUGAAACAAGAAUCUGAUAAUCCAGUGACAGUAUUUCAAAUUACAUUAACAAUGAAAUCCUAGAUUUUUGCUACAAAUUGUAUUUCCUUUCACAAAAUUAUUCUUACUUGCUGCCAAGUCAAAUAUGCUAAUGAUUCUCAGCUACUUUAUCGUCAUUUGCGCAUUAUCUGAGCAAUCAUUUUCUGGGAUAGACUUAAGGGCAGGGAACACUGCCUGGUCAAUUAAAAAGGGUCGCCUGCCAGCAGAGUGUUGGAAGGCUGCUGAAGUGGAAGCUCCCUGCUCAGGCAAAAAUGCUGGCCCCUGUCAGUGGUACAGCAUAACACACAAGUCU